rnacentral:rRNA from 1 species
UACGUAGGGGGCAAGCAUUGUCCGGAUUCAUUGGGCGUAAAGAGCGUGUAGGCGGCCAGGUAGGUCGGUUGUGAAAACUGGAGGCUCAACCUUCAGAGGUCGACCGAAACCAUCUGGCUAGAGUCCGGGAGAGGAGAGUGGAAUUCCUGGUGUAGCGGUGAAAUGCGCAGAUAUCAGGAAGAACACCGGUGGCGAAGGCGGCAUCCUGGACCGGUAUUGACGCUGAGGCGCGAAAGCCAGGGGAGCAAACGGG